rnacentral:rRNA from 1 species
GACGAACGCUGGCGGCGUGCUUAACACAUGCAAGUCGAACGAAAAGGCCCUGCUUUUGUGGGGUGCUCGAGUGGCGAACGGGUGAGUAACACGUGAGUAACCUGCCCUUGACUUUGGGAUAACUUCAGGAAACUGGGGCUCAUACCGGAUAGGAGCUCCUGAUGCAUGGUGGGGGUUGGAAAGUUUCGGCGGUUGGGGAUGGACUCGCGGCUUAUCAGCUUGUUGGUGGGGUAGUGGCUUACCAAGGUUUUGACGGGUAGCCGGCCUGAGAGGGUGACCGGCCACAUUGGGACUGAGGUACGGCCCAGACUCCUACGGGAGGCAGCAGUGGGGAAUAUUGCACAGUGGGCGGAAGCCUGAUGCAGCAACGCCGCGUGCGGGAUGACGGCCUUCGGGUUGUAAACCGCUGUCGCCUGUGACGAAGCGUGAGUGACGGUAAUGGGUAAAGAAGCACCGGCUAACUACGUG